rnacentral:rRNA from 1 species
UACGUAGGUGGCGAGCGUUGUCCGGAUUUACUGGGCGUAAAGCGCGCGCAGGCGGACUGAUCAGUCUGGGGUGAAAUCUCACGGCUCAACUGUGAGCGGUCCCUGGAUACUGUCAGCCUUGAGAUGUCUAGAGGAGAGCGGAAUUCCCGGUGUAGUGGUGGAAUGCGUAGAUAUCGUAAGGAAGACCAGUGGCGAAGGCGGGUCUCUGGACAGUUCCUGACGCUGAGGCACGAAGGUCAGGGGAGCAAACGGG